GACGAACGCUGGCGGCGUGCUUAACACAUGCAAGUCGAACGGAAAGGCCCUGCUUUUGUGGGGUGCUCGAGUGGCGAACGGGUGAGUAACACGUGAGUAACCUGCCCUUGACUUUGGGAUAACUUCAGGAAACUGGGGCUAAUACCGGCUAGGAGCUCCUGCUGCAUGGUGGGGGUUGGAAAGUUUCGGCGGUUGGGGAUGGACUCUCGGCUUAUCAGCUUGUGGGUGGGGUAGUGGCUUACCAAGGGUUUGACGGGUAGCCGGCCUGAGAGGGUGACCGGCCACAUUGGGACUGAGAUACGGCCCAGACGCCUACGGGAGGCAGCAGUGGGGAAUAUUGCACAAUGGGCGGAAGCCUGAUGCAGCGACGCCGCGUGCGGGAUGACGGCCUUCGGGUGGUAAACCGCUUUCGCCUGUGACGAAGCGUGAGUGACGGUAAUGGGUAAAGAAGCACCGGCUAACUACGUG
rnacentral:rRNA from 1 species